GAACCUCAGAUCAGGCGAGACUACCCGCUGAAUUUAAGCAUAUCAAUAAGCGGAGGAAAAGAAACUAACAAGGAUUCCCUCAGUAACGGCGAGCGAAGUGGGAAGAGCUCGAGCCUGAAAUCCCUGGCAGGUACUGUCAGGGAGUUGUGGCCGAGAGAGGCAACUUGGUCUCGACUGAUGCUGUCAAAGUUGACCUGGAAAGGCGCGUCAGAGAGGGUGAGAGCCCCGUACGUGACACCAUCGGUCUGGACUGUAUUGCCUUCGGAGAGUCGGGUUGUUUGGGAAUGCAGCCCAAAGUGGGUGGUAAACUCCAUCUAAAGCUAAAUACUGGCACGAGACCGAUAGCAAACAAGUACCGUGAGGG
rnacentral:rRNA from 1 species